rnacentral:rRNA from 1 species
GAAUCAACGCUGGCGGCGUGCCUAACACAUGCAAGUCGAACGAGAAAGUGGGGGCAACUCCAUGAGUAAAGUGGCAGACGGGUGAGUAACACGUGAACAACCUACCCUCGAGUGUGGAAUAACACCGCGAAAGCGGUGCUAAUACCGCAUAACAUCUUUGAGUCGCAUGACCUGAAGAUCAAAAGCGCAAGUUGCUUGAGGAGGGGUUCGCGCCUGAUUAGCUAGUUGGUGAGGUAACGGCCCACCAAGGCAACGAUCAGUAGCCGGCCUGAGAGGGCGAACGGCCACACUGGAACUGAGACACGGUCCAGACUCCUACGGGAGGCAGCAGUGGGGAAUUUUGCGCAAUGGGCGAAAGCCUGACGCAGCAACGCCGCGUGGAGGAUGAAGGUCCUCGGAUCGUAAACUCCUGUCGAUGGGGAAGAAAGCCCGCAAGGGUUUGACUGUACCCGUUGAGGAAGCCACGGCUAACUCCGUGCCAGCAGCCGCGGUAAUACGGAGGUGGCAAGCGUUGUUCGGAAUUACUGGGCGUAAAGGGCGCGUAGGCGGCUCUGCAAGUCAGAUGUGAAAGCCCCGGGCUUAACUCGGGAAUUGCAUCUGAAACUGCUUAGCUUGAGUCCUGGAUGGGGUAGUGGAAUUCCCAGUGUAGCGGUGAAAUGCGUAGAUAUUGGGAGGAACACCUGCGGCGAAGGCGGCUACCUGGACAGUGACUGACGCUGAGGCGCGAAAGCUAGGGGAGCGAACGGGAUUAGAUACCCCGGUAGUCCUAGCUGUAAACGAUGGGCACUUGGUGUUGGGGGUAUUGAGUCCCUCGGUGCCGGAGUUAACACGUUAAGUGCCCCGCCUGGGGAGUACGGUCGCAAGACUGAAACUCAAAGGAAUUGACGGGGGCCCGCACAAGCGGUGGAGCAUGUGGUUCAAUUCGAGGUUACGCGAAGAACCUUACCAGGGUUUGACAUGCUAGUGGUAGUGAAGCGAAAGCGGAACGACCCUUCGGGGAGCUAGCACAGGUGCUGCAUGGCUGUCGUCAGCUCGUGUCGUGAGAUGUCAGGUUAAGUCCUGUAACGAGCGCAACCCUCGUCGUUAGUUAUAAGUGUCUAACGAGACUGCCCGUGAUAAGCGGGAGGAAGGUGAGGAUGAUGUCAAGUCAGCAUGGCCUUUAUAUCCUGGGCUACACACACGCUACAAUGGCCAGUACAAUGGGUUGCCAAGUCGCGAGACGGAGCCAAUCCCUCAAAGCUGGUCUCAGUUCGGAUUGCAGGCUGCAACUCGCCUGCAUGAAGUCGGAGUUGCUAGUAACCGCGCGUCAGCACAGUGCGGUGAAUACGUUCCCGGGGAU